rnacentral:rRNA from 1 species
UAAGCGGAGGAAAAGAAACUAACAAGGAUUCCCCUAGUAACUGCGAGUGAAGCGGGAAAAGCUCAAAUUUAAAAUCUGGUGGUCUUUGGCCAUUCGAGUUGUAAUUUAGAGAAGCGACUUCCGCGCUGGACCGUGCACAAGUCUCCUGGAAUGGAGCGUCAUAGAGGGUGAGAAUCCCGUCNNGGCACGGACACACCAGGGCUUUUGUGAUGCGCUCUCGAAGAGUCGAGUUGUUUGGGAAUGCAGCUCAAAAUGGGUGGUGAACUCCAUCUAAAGCUAAAUAUUGGCGAGAGACCGAUAGCGAACAAGUACCGUGAGGGAAAGAUGAAAAGCACUUUGGAAAGAGAGUGAAACAGUACGUGAAAUUGUUGAAAGGGAAACGCUUGAAGUCAGUCACGUCGACCGAGACUCAGCCUUGCCUUGGCUUGGUGUACUUCUCGGCUGACGGGUCAGCAUCAAUUUUGCCCCUUGGAUAAUGGCGAGGGAAAUGUGACACCUUUACGGUGUGUUAUAGUCUCUCGUCGCAUGCAAGGGUUGGGAUUGAGGAACUCAGCACGCGCCUUUGGGUGUCGGGGCUUUGCCCACGAUACGUGCUUGGGAUGUUGGCAUAAUGGCUUUAAACGACC